UCGAGAAUCUUCCGCAAUGGGCGAAAGCCUGACGGAGCGACGCCGCGUGUAGGAUGAAGGCCCUCGGGUUGUAAACUACUGUCACGGGUUAUGAAUGUACAUAUGUAAACAGCGUGUGUAUUGACGUAAGCCCGAAAGGAAGCACCGGCUAACUCUGUGCCAGCAGCCGCGGUAAUACGAAGGGUGCAAACGUUGCUCGGAAUUAUUGGGCGUAAAGCGCACGUAGGCGGCUCUGUAAGUUGGAUGUGAAAUCCCUCGGCGCAACCAAGGAAGUGCAUCCAAAACUACAAAGCUUGAGUACUUAAGAGGAUCGCGGAAUUCCCGGUGUAGAGGUGAAAUUCGUAGAUAUCGGGAGGAACACCAGUGGCGAAGGCGGCGAUCUGGGAAGAUACUGACGCUGAGGUGCGAAAGCGUGGGGAGCAAACGGGAUUAGAUACCCAAGUAGUCCCUGAGCGGGCUGGCAAGGCGCAU
rnacentral:rRNA from 1 species